rnacentral:rRNA from 1 species
CACGUAGGGUGCGAGCGUUGUCCGGAAUUAUUGGGCGUAAAGAGCUCGUAGGCGGUUUGUCGCGUCUGCUGUGAAAACUCGGGGCUCAACUCCGAGCCUGCAGUCGAUACGGGCAGACUAGAGUGCGGUAGGGGAGACUGGAAUUCCUGGUGUAGCGGUGAAAUGCGUAGAUAUCUGGAAGAACACCAAUGGCGAAGGCAAUGUUCUGGCUCGUUUCUGACGCUCAGGUGCGAAAGCCAGGGGAGCGAACGGG